rnacentral:rRNA from 1 species
AUUGAACGCUGGCGGCAGGCCUAACACAUGCAAGUCGAACGAGUGGCGGACGGGUGAGUAAUGUCUGGGAAACUGCCCGAUGGAGGGGGAUAACUACUGGAAACGGUAGCUAAUACCGCAUACCAUCGGAUGUACCCAGAUGGGAUUAGCUAGUAGGUGGGGUAAUGGCUCACCUAGGCGACGAUCCCUAGCUGGUCUGAGAGGAUGACCAGCCACAAUAGAACUGGGACACGGUCCAGACUCCUACGGGAGGCAGCAGUGGGGAAUAUUGCACAAUGGGCGCAAGCCUGAUGCAGCCAUGCCGCGUGUAUGAAGAAGGCCUGCGGGUUGUAAAGUACUUUCAGCGGGGAGGCGUUACCCGCAGAAGAAGCACCGGCUAACUCCGUGCCAGCAGCCGCGGUAAUUC